GGGGGUAUAGCUCAGCGGUUAGAGCAGCCGGCUCAUAACUGGUUGGUCCCUGGUUCAAAUCCAGGUGCCCCUA
rnacentral:tRNA from 1 species